rnacentral:rRNA from 1 species
GAUGAACGCUAGCGACAGGCCUAACACAUGCAAGUCGAGGGGUAACAUUAUUAAAGCUUGCUUUAAUAGAUGACGACCGGCGCACGGGUGCGUAACGCGUAUGCAACCUACCCAUUACAGGAGGAUAGCCCAGAGAAAUUUGGAUUAAUACUCCAUAGUAUUUACUGAAAGCAUUUUUAGUAUUUUAAAAGAUUCGUCUGGUAAUGGAUGGGCAUGCGUAUGAUUAGUUAGUUGGUAGGGUAACGGCCUACCAAGACGACGAUCAUUAGGGGUUCUGAGAGGAUAGUCCCCCACACUGGUACUGAGACACGGACCAGACUCCUACGGGAGGCAGCAGUGAGGAAUAUUGGUCAAUGGGCGAGAGCCUGAACCAGCCAAGUCGCGUGCAGGAAGACUGCCCUAUGGGUUGUAAACUGCUUUUAUAUAGGAAUAAUUGUUUUUACGUGUAAGAAUUUGAAUGUACUAUAUGAAUAAGCACCGGCUAACUCCGUGCCAGCAGCCGCGGUAAUACGGAGGGUGCAAGCGUUAUCCGGAUUUAUUGGGUUUAAAGGGUGCGUAGGCGGGUUCAUAAGUCAGUGGUGAAAGUCUGUCGCUUAACGAUAGAAUUGCCAUUGAAACUGUGGAUCUUGAAUACAGUAGAGGUAGGCGGAAUAUAUUGUGUAGCGGUGAAAUGCAUAGAUACGAUAUAGAACACCUAUUGCGAAGGCAGCUUACUAUGCUGUAAUUGACGCUGAUGCACGAAAGCGUGGGGAGCGAACAGG